AUGAUCAGCCACACUGGGAAUGAGACACGGCCCCAAUGGGGGAUUUUCCGCAAUGGGCGAAAGCAUGAUGGAGCAAUGCCGCGUGGAAGUAGAAGGCCCACGGGUCGUGAACUUCUUUUCUCGGAGAAGAAGCAAUGACGGUAUCUGGGGAAUUAGCAUCGGCUUACUUGCCUCUCGUUGUAUUAC